AUUAUUUAAUGAGUCAGAAUGAAUUGCAUUGAAAAUCCUUUAAGUGGGAUCUGGGAGCAUUUAACUGCAGCUUGGGAUCUUAACUAGAGUGGGAAAGGAUCUUUGUGCUAAUUGCUGGCAAUAAUACUAAAACACAGCAGCUGCUGCUAAUAAACAAACAUAUUGAUCAUACCAAUACGGGAUGUCAGGGACUUAAUUCAUGAAUGA
rnacentral:lncRNA from 1 species